GACGAACGCUGGCGGCGUGCUUAACACAUGCAAGUCGAACGGGAGUACUUUGAAAGCUUGCUGAUAAGUACUUUAGUGGCGGACGGGUGAGUAACGCGUGAGGAGCUGUCCUAUGCAGGGGGACAACAGUUGGAAACGGCUGCUAAUACCCCAUAAGCCGAGAGGUAAAAGGAGCAAUCCGGCAGAGGAGGUACUCGCGUCCUAUCAGCUAGUAGGUUGGGUAACGGCCGACCUAGGCGAAGACGGGUAGCCGGCCUGAGAGGGCGAACGGCCACACUGGAACUGAGAUGCGGUCCAGACUCCUACGGGAGGCUGCAGUGGGGAAUAUUGGGCAAUGGGGGGAACCCUGACCCAGCGACGCCGCGUGGGUGGAGAAAUCCUUCGGGAUGUAGAGCCCUGUUGUAUGGGAAGAGCAGAAGACGGUACCAUACGAGGAAGCCCCGGCAAACUACGUGCCAGCCGCCGCAGUAACAC
rnacentral:rRNA from 1 species